rnacentral:rRNA from 1 species
UACGGAGGAUGCAAGUGUUAUCCGGAAUCACUGGGCGUAAAGCGUCUGCAGGUGGUUUCCUAAGUCCACUGUUAAACCUUGAGGCUCAACCUCAAAUCUGCAUUGGAAACUAGGAGACUUGAGUAUAGUAGGGGUAGAGGGAAAUUCCAGUGGAGCGGUGAAAUGCGUAGAUAUUGGAAAGAACACCGAUUGCGAAGGCACUCUACUGGGCUAUUACUGACACUCAGAGACGAAAGCUAGGGGAGCAAAUGGG